rnacentral:rRNA from 1 species
GAUGAACGCUGGCGGCGUGCCUAAUACAUGCAAGUCGAGCGAACAGACGAGGAGCUUGCUUCUCUGACGUUAGCGGCGGACGGGUGAGUAACACGUGGAUAACCUACCUAUAAGACUGGGAUAACUUCGGGAAACCGGAGCUAAUACCGGAUAAUAUAUUGAACCGCAUGGUUCAAUAGUGAAAGACGGUCUUGCUGUCACUUAUAGAUGGAUCCGCGCUGCAUUAGCUAGUUGGUAAGGUAACGGCUUACCAAGGCAACGAUGCAUAGCCGACCUGAGAGGGUGAUCGGCCACACUGGAACUGAGACACGGUCCAGACUCCUACGGGAGGCAGCAGUAGGGAAUCUUCCGCAAUGGGCGAAAGCUUGACGGAGCAACGCCGCGUGAGUGAUGAAGGUCUUCGGAUCGUAAAACUCUGUUAUUAGGGAAGAACAAAUGUGUAAGUAACUGUGCACAUCUUGACGGUACCUAAUCAGAAAGCCACGGCUAACUACGUG